UACGUAGGGUGCAAGCGUUAUCCGGAAUUAUUGGGCGUAAAGAGCUCGUAGGCGGUUUGUCGCGUCUGCUGUGAAAACUGGAGGCUCAACCUCCAGCCUGCAGUGGGUACGGGCAGACUAGAGUGCGGUAGGGGAGAUUGGAAUUCCUGGUGUAGCGGUGGAAUGCGCAGAUAUCAGGAGGAACACCAAUAGCGAAGGCAGACGUCGCUGGGACGUUGACCUGACAACUGAGGCGCGAAGACGUGGGGAGCGAACAGGG
rnacentral:rRNA from 1 species